CACUUUGUAUGUUCGUCAGGUCUUCUUCAAUUUCAUUGGGUAGGUUCAGAGCCAUGGGUUGGAGUUUGACACUGAAAGAGACUGAAGACAGCCAAGCUUAUCUGAUGCAACCAUUACACUAAAAUGUAUUGUAAAUGUUUUCUCUUCGGAAACCUUCAACCUCGCAACUCUGAUUGUUGCUGGGUCGAAGUUGGAGGCAACAGAGGGACAGAAUGCUAUAAUAUCCUUCGACAUCGAUGAAGUGGAGAAAGCAGAUGAAGUGAAGAUUGCCUUUAAGCAAGACAACAAGGAAAAUGCUGUUGUUAUCGCGCAGCGCCCGUGGACCUAUGAUGAAACCCCUCCACCUGGAGUUUCACUGCUGGUUGAGGAAGGACGCGUGAAUAUAACCAUUCAACAUGUCAGCAUCUCCAGAAACUCUGGAGUCUAUAAAGCGCGAGCUUUCUUUGGAAAGAGCAUGUAUGAGGUGAAUGCUACGCUUGUCAUCAACAAACCACAGUCUUCCUCCAGUCCAGCGCCACCACACACCUCCACCCCAAAACCUCCCAGCUCAUCUGAGCCCCAAUGGCUGUAUGUUUUAAUUUCAGUCGUCGUCAUUAUCAUCAUCAUUAUCAUCAUCAUCAUCAUCAGGAGGGCAAGUAUUACUUCUAUUCAUGCUUUUAGUUGUGGAUAGGAGCAGCGCUGUGGCUCUAAUGAUCUGUUAAGCAGUAUAUAAUGUAAUAAGAUGUUAAUAUUAAAGUUAUUAUAAAGUGAUGCCCAGCAGAGAAUCAAUAUGCAUCUUUAUUUCUUAUAUACACAUUUGACCACAUAAGGCAUUUUUACAGUUUUUGAUGGUAAAAGUUACUUACAGCAUUUAAAAUAAAUGCUUAGAUUCUUUUCAGCAUUUUAGGGUUUUAUCGAUUAUCCUUUCCUAAAAUGCCAGUACACACAAUGGUGGUGCUGAAACGGAUUCCCAUCACAUGAUUGAUGCUUAUUUGAGCUUAAAUUUGUUAUUACACAUGAUAUUUGGUCUCAUACUUGUCACUGUGGUUGUGCUGAAAAGCAGGGUUCUUACAGACCUGGAAACCUGGGAAUCUUAAGAGUUCCAAAAGUGUGAUUUCCAGGCCUGAAACCUCAUGGAUAUUUAUAAAGUCUUCCUAUAGACACAAUACAUUUUAAUAGUUAUACUUAGUUCUAAAUUACUUCUCUAGCUAGCAAAACUGUGAUCAGAUCACCUGAAAUGGAUCUUAAUAACAAUUUAAACUGGGUCAAGGAGUUUGAGCAAGUCAGUGUUCUGUACAGAUUUUUGAUGGUGGUGAAUGUGUUCAUUUUUAUUGUCUACAAUUUUGUUCGCCAGAAGAUAUGAUCAACAACAGUAGCUGCGUUUACAUGGACCCUAAUAAUCGGAAUGUAACCAGACUUAUCAGUAGCUGUGUUCACAAAAAUCUUAUGGCUAUAAGUUAUUCCUGCAGACAUUCAGAAGCAACUCUUAAAUUCUACAGAGCAUUUACUACACAGAGCACAGCAGACAGGCAACGGCAGACUCUUGUAAUGUUUUUGCAGGCAUGCAUGUUUAUGUUCACCUGAUCACAUGAAACAGAUAAAAGUGUUUUGGUCCCUAUUUUCUCAUCUGAGCAAAACCAGACCUAUACAGCAUGAGCGUACACACAGAGUGGGUACAACAUGCAGUUGUCACUUAACCUGUGCUAUUUCUAUUUGAUUUGGCCCCUAAUGUAACUUAGUGAUAUUACAUAAUAUUUUUGAAAAGAAGCAGUUAAUUCUGUGCUCAUCAUCUGUCAUUUCCACCAUGUAAUCAAGCCACUCUUCUUUAAAGAAUAAUGACAUUUUAUUUCAUGUCUGUGUUUGCUUUCUUUGUUUGCUUUUGCUUGUGUUGAGCUGUUAGGCUCCAGUUUUGCCAACUAUUUUAAAUGGAAAGUAACUGUCUGCUUGAAAAGUUGCUAAAUUGGCAACACUCUUUGGUUCACGAUAUUUUCUUUCAAUGAAACCUGUAAAUGGCAAACACUGCAAUUAUUUCUCAUUUACUAGAUUACAAUAUAAUGUCUUUCCCCACACAUUGUGCAUCUGUCCUGUGUGCCAUUAUAUUUCUGUGCAGCCAAGACAUCAGAAGUAUUGUGUAUCUUAGAUGAAACAAUGCUGAAAUUUAUAAAUUAAGCUUUGACUUUAGCACCCAUUUAUUUGAAUUAAUUUCCUUAAUGUCUUGUAAUUGUGUUUUUUCCACUAAGCUCAGUUUUCUGUUGUUUUAUUUCCAGAUCCUGUGUUUUCAAAAAAGAGAACUAGAAAACCAGUGCAACGCUUGUGUAUCAGUCGCCAUGAACGGUUGUGAAUAAAAGGCUGAACCUCUUCUCACGGAUACCCAAGUGUCUUAAAGGGGUCAUAUAAUGCCACUUUUACAAGAUGUAAUAUAAGUCUCUGGUGUCCCCAGAGUGUGUCUGUGAAGUUUCAGCUCAAAAUACCCCACAGAUCAUUUAUUAUAGCUUCUUAAAUUUGUCACUUUUUGCGGGUGAGCAAAAACACACCGUUUUUGUGUGUGUCCCUUUAAAUGCAAAUGAGCUGCUGAUCCCAAGAAGAUGGCGGAGCUUCAAGACCUCAUGUUAGCAGCUCUGAUUACCUCAUGCAGACUCACUGAAAAUGUCAAACUGUUCAGCCUUUUAUGUUUAAACUGGAGUCAGGCAAUCAUUCAGUGUUUCUGAACGGGAAGAUCGUACAGAGUCAGGGAAUAUAUGCUGCAUUAAGAAAGAACAGUUAUAGUUUAGUUUAAUUACGGUUAUAACUUGUCAUGUUGCCAUCUUGCUUUUAUGACAUGUUACUGCAUUUGUGUAACAAACCGUAUUGCAAUAACAUGGCCUCACCCCUUUGUUGUGUGUUCUCGGGGGCAGGGUUUAUGUAAAUUUUAGGGUUAGUGAUGUCCCGGGAACACUGGAAGAAGCUUGUUGCAGUUAAAUAGCUAUUCUAACUAAUAAAUAAAAAAGGAAAUCACUUUAACUUUUGAAACGUAAGCUUUAAUCUAGGCAAACCAAACUAUCACUUUACUGUGAUAUGUUUUUGGUUUGGUUUUUCAUUCACUAAUAAAGAUUUUACUCUAGCAUUAGCUCCAGCUGUCGCACACUCACCUCUGACCCUUCUCUAUCGCCUCUCAUCUCAAAGUGCCUGUUGUGUUCUCAUUAAAUGCCAGUUUCAUCUUACAUGUAUUACAUAUGCCAGUAUUUUUUGUUUCUAUUUAUGCUAAACUUUCCCACUCACUCUGCUUGUUCGCUUUACUUGCACUUUAUUGGACUGGUCAAACUGUUAUUUUAGGCCCAUAUUAAAAAAAUCAAGACACUUUGUUUGGCCAAUUUUUAUUGUAGACGUUGUAGAUAAUGUUGAUGAAUUGUUCCAGAACUAUUUUUAGUCAUAAUCUACAUUAAUUCAAAAAUACUAUAUUUGUUUUAUGAUUGAUGUAACAAUUACAGGCAAUGAUUUGGCCUUUUUAUUCUAUUCUUGUUUAAAAUGUCCCUUAACUUUGCCAAAAUGUCUGUUGUCAAAUAAAGUUUGUUACAUUGUUA